AGAGUUUGAUCCUGGCUCAGGACGAACGCUGGCGGCGUGCUUAACACAUGCAAGUCGAGCGGAAAGGCCCUUUUGGGGGUACUCGAGCGGCGAACGGGUGAGUAACACGUGAGUAACCUGCCCUGGACUUUGGGAUAACCCUCGGAAACGGGGGCUAAUACCGGAUAUGACACGGUUUUGCAUGAGGUCGUGUGGAAAGAUUUUUUGGUCUGGGAUGGGCUCGCGGCCUAUCAGCUUGUUGGUGGGGUGAUGGCCUACCAAGGCGACGACGGGUAGCCGGCCUGAGAGGGCGACCGGCCACACUGGGACUGAGACACGGCCCAGACUCCUACGGGAGGCAGCAGUGGGGAAUAUUGCACAAUGGGCGCAAGCCUGAUGCAGCGACGCCGCGUGAGGGAUGACGGCCUUCGGGUUGUAAACCUCUUUCAGCAGGGACGAAGCGUGAGUGACGGUACCUGCAGAAGAAGCGCCGGCCAACUACGUGCCAGCAGCCGCGGUA
rnacentral:rRNA from 1 species